rnacentral:tRNA from 1 species
GGCCGCCUGGCGAAAUGGCAUCGCGUCUGACUACGAUAUUUGUAAUCAGGAGAUUGCAGGUUCGACCCCUGCGGUGGUCA